rnacentral:sRNA from 1 species
GUGCGCCGGAAGUGGGGUGCGGAGGUGUGCAGCGCGCUGUCAGACUGGCUCGCAGGCGGCGCGGCCGGCGGACCCGUUCGAGACAGCGCGGGCGGCUCGGGUCCCCUGGGGCUCCGCAGCAGGAGGACGCCAUGGACGACAAGGAGUUAAUUGAAUACUUUAAGUCUCAGAUGAAAGAAGAUCCUGACAUGGCCUCAGCAGUGGCUGCCAUCCGGACGUUGCUGGAGUUCUUGAAGAGAGAUAAAGGGGAGACAAUCCAGGGUCUGAGGGCGAAUCUCACCAGUGCCAUAGAAACCCUGUGUGGUGUGGACUCCUCUGUGGCAGUGUCCUCUGGCGGGGAGCUCUUCCUCCGCUUCAUCAGUCUUGCCUCCCUGGAAUACUCCGAUUACUCCAAAUGUAAAAAGAUCAUGAUUGAGCGGGGAGAACUUUUUCUCAGGAGAAUAUCACUGUCAAGAAACAAAAUUGCAGAUCUGUGCCAUACUUUCAUCAAAGAUGGAGCGGUGAGUGGAUAAUCAUCAUGGUGGUAAGGAGGAGCAAGGGUUUCGAGUCCGACUGCCUGGGGUAAAAUCCAGGCUCUGCCACUCACUUGCUGUGGAGACUUGAACAAGUAACUUAACCUGUC